rnacentral:rRNA from 1 species
UACGUAGGGGGCAAGCGUUGUCCGGAUUUAUUGGGCGUAAAGCGCUCGCAGGUGGUCCGUCGCGUCGUGCGUGAAAGACCCCGGCUCAACUGGGGAGGGUCGUGCGAUACGGGCGGACUGGAGGCCAGUAGGGGGAUGCGGAAUUCCGGGUGUAGUGGUGGAAUGCGUAGAGAUCCGGAGGAACACCAGCGGCGAAGGCGGCAUCCUGGACUGGUCCUGACACUCAGGAGCGAAAACGUGGGGAGCGAUCCGG